CUCACUCAAAAUUAGAUCUUGGCCCCAAGCAAGUACACUAGCACCCUUCAGUAUCAUUGGAUAUAUACCCUGUGGAUUACCACGCCUCAGCCAGAGGUGGUGUUAAGGCGUAUCUAUAGAGAUACUAAGUGACCACCUCCUUGUGUCCAGACCCACAUCAAUCCAAAUGGAAAUAUUUUUUUCUAUCUUCUCUUAUGUACCCGCCACAGAAAUAAUAAUUGCCUCUAUGAAUUUGUUAUUAUUUUCCCAUUCUAUACAUAUG